rnacentral:rRNA from 1 species
GCCUCUUGCAACUCACAUAUAAGAGGUAACGCCUGCCCAGUGACCAUGUGUUCAACGGCCGCGGUAUUCUGACCGUGCAAAGGUAGCGUAAUCACUUGUCUUUUAAAUAAAGACUAGUAUGAAUGGCAUCACGAGAGUUCAACUGUCUCCCCCACCCAAUCAGUGAAACUGAUCUCCCCGUGCAGAAGCGGGGAUAAAACCAUAAGACGAGAAGACCCCAUGGAGCUUUAAACUAAAGGCACUAGCUCUUAAUUUACCCCAAGGACAAAACAUUAAACCAGUUAAAGUGACCUGUCGUUUUCGGUUGGGGCGACCACGGAGAAAAACAAAUCCUCCGAGAUGAAAGGGUAAACCCUUAGCCAAGACCCACAAUUCUAAGCAAUAGAACAUCUAACGCACCGAUCCAAUCAAAUUGAUCAACGAACCAAGUUACCCUGGGGAUAACAGCGCAAUCUAUUUUCAGAGUUCAUAUCGACAAAUAGGUUUACGACCUCGAUGUUGGAUCAGGGCCUCCUAGCGGUGCAGCCGCUGCUAAGGGUUCGUUUGUUCAACGAUUAAAGCCCUACGUG